GAUGAAGAACGCAGCGAAAUGCGAUAAGUAAUGUGAAUUGCAGAAUUCAGUGAAUCAUCGAAUCUUUGAACGCACAUUGCGCCCCUCGGUAUUCCGUGGGGCACGCCUGUUCGAGCGUCAUUUACACCCUCAAGCGCAGCUUGGUGUUGGGCGUCUGUCCCGCUCUCCGUAGCGCGGACUCGCCUCAAAGUCAUUGGCGGCGGUCGUGCCGGCUCCUCGCGCAGCACAUUUGCGCUUCUCGGAGGCCCGGCGGAUCGGCAUCCAGCAAGCUACUUUUUAUGACUUGACCUCGGAUCAGGUGAGGAUACCCGCUGAACUUAAGCAUAUCAAUAAGCGGAGGA
rnacentral:misc_RNA from 1 species